GGGCGGGUAGCUCAGUGGUAGAGCGUCUCGCUUACAACGAGAAGGCCAGAGGUUCAAUUCCUCUCCCGCCCA
rnacentral:tRNA from 1 species